UCAGAUCAAGUGCAGCGGUCGAGGAGGCAGCUGAAAAAGGUAGAGAGAAGAGUUGACCACCUUCCGAAAAUCCUUUCGACUUUGAAGUUUCGUGCACCGUCUUUCAGCAGACAAGUUUUUUUCUAACCUCGUUCGGUGACUCAAGUACGCCGUUGGAAUCUCGCAGUCUAGCCCAGCUUGGUUUGAAACAGCGCUCGGUGAAGAGAAUCUAUGCGUGCGGACGCCUCGUGCUAGGGCGUUUGGGCGCAGGAAACCGCGGGUGCUGGCAGUCGCAUCCCGCAACAGGAAAUUUGUCCGAAUACUUGUACCUGAGCAGCCGUCCCAUCGGAUCUCGAAGGACUAGGAUAGCAAGAUUGUGCUCUGCUAGAGUCCUGGUGGCCACUGAUGUGUGUCAGGUGGGACAUCAGCAUCAGCAGGAACUACCCACGCUGCAGUGAUCGGUGAUACUGUUGACAGCGAUUGGGGACAUUGUUGUUCUUAUCCCAAAUAUGGAUGACAAUCCAUUCCAUAGUGGUACGUUCGUCAAUAGCGUCCUGGUGUGGAUGAACGAUUUGGACCCGGAUCGAUUUCGCAACAUUGCGCAACGGAAGGACUUGUUAGAUUUCGAAUCCAUUAGGACGCUAGAAAGAAUAAACAAGAAUGAAGGACCGUCUCAGCACAAUCGAAAGCUGAUCUAUAUGAUUGCUGCCGGAGAGAUGGAAACAUAUCUGAAACUCUGUGACGUUGUCAAGGUGAUGGGUUUUAAAACGCGCUACGAUGAAAUGAUCAGCAUUGUGAAAGACCGUCUUGAAGGUGAAUUUAUACUGAUACAAACUGGGAAGGUGUAUAAUGUGUAUGUUGAACAAUCAUUUUUAUAUCAGACCAAAGCAUUGACCGAGUGUUCAAACUGCGGGAAGCAUAGAAAACUGGGCAC